rnacentral:rRNA from 1 species
CACGUAGGGGGCAAGCGUUGUUCGGAAUUAUUGGGCGUAAAGGGCAUGUAGGCGGUUUCGUAAGCCUGGUGUGAAAUCCUGCAGCUUAACUGUAGAAUUGCAUUGGGUACUGCGAGACUUGAAUCACGGAGGGGAAACUAGAAUUCCAGGUGUAGGGGUGGAAUCUGUAGAUAUCUGGAAGAAUACCGGUGGCGAAGGCGGGUUUCUAGCCGAUGAUUGACGCUGAGGUGCGAAAGUGCGGGGAGCAAACAGG